GACGAACGCUGCCGGCGUGCUUAACACAUGCAAGUCGAACGAAGAGCGAUGGAAGCUUGCUUCUAUCAAUCUUAGUGGCGAACGGGUGAGUAACGCGUAAUCAACCUGCCCUUCAGAGGGGGACAACAGUUGGAAACGACUGCUAAUACCGCAUACGAUCCAAUCUCGGCAUCGGGACUGGAUGAAAGGUGGCCUCUAUUUAUAAGCUAUCACUGAAGGAGGGGAUUGCGUCUGAUUAGCUAGUUGGAGGGGUAACGGCCCACCAAGGCGAUGAUCAGUAGCCGGUCUGAGAGGAUGAACGGCCACAUUGGGACUGAGACACGGCCCAGACUCCUACGGGAGGCAGCAGUGGGGAAUCUUCCGCAAUGGACGAAAGUCUGACGGAGCAACGCCGCGUGAGUGAUGACGGCCUUCGGGUUGUAAAGCUCUGUUAAUCGGGACGAAUGGUUCUUGUGCGAAUAGUGCGAGGAUUUGACGGUACCGGAAUAGAAAGCCACGGCUAACUACGUG
rnacentral:rRNA from 1 species